AGUAGAGCCUACGUCAGAGGCUGGCGCAAACAGAAGUGCAGCGGUGGCGGCGGCUGGUUGCGGGCCGGCGGCGGGCUGGCGGAGAUGGAGGAUCUUGUUCAAGAUGGGGUGGCUUCACCAGCUACCCCUGGGACCGGGAAAUCUAAGGUGAAGAGAAUACUUGAAUAGCGGGCUUCCUGAAGAGUGGAAGGGUGAUGAAUUGGAAAACUUUGGCAUGGGGAAGGGGGGGGCGCUGAUUUUUUUUUUUUUAAUAGCCUUGCUCCAAGGGAUCUCAAUUUUAGUGUGCGCAAUCGCCCAUUUCCUGUUUCUCCCCCGCCCACCCCGAUAUAGAAAGACUUUUUGUUUGCUUCCUGCUCCUGGUUAGCACUGCUGGGAGAUCCUGCUAUUUUUCGAACAUAAAGCAGUCUAAGAAGGUUUAUAUAGUGGUGUAGUGGAAGGAGCAGUGACAUAGGGUAGGAAUCAAGGGAUUCUGAUCUG
rnacentral:lncRNA from 1 species